CUAGAGGAUGAACAAGGGCACAUGUGUAAUUUCACUAAUACCGGCUUGGACGAACACUACCAAGUUGUGUGGAUAGCACCUUAUACAUCCAUGUUUACUCUACUCUUUUCCUCUUUGAUGCAAAUUGUAGAAAUCAAAAUCAACCUCUUUCUCCAAAACUCUUCAUCAGGGAAAAAAUAUUGAGCUUGUAGUAGGGGAAACAAAGUUGUUGAUAGUUGAGGUGAGAAAGUAUCACUCAACACCAUUGAUGGCGAAAUUCGUGGACAAGAAGGUCACAACCGAAGAACUUGUACUUUUUUCAGAAAGAAGAUUGACAAACUUUUUUCUAGACUACUAGCAUGUUUUUGAUACAUCAUUUUCAGAUUAUCAAUUUUAAUUUUUUUGUUUUUUUUCAUUUUUACUUUUAUAGAACAUUACAAUUAACUAUCAGGUGGUGAAAUUCUGAUACAAUAAAUUGAAAUGUUAAGAUUUUGAACUUUGUGUUUAUUUUUGUAACAAAUUAUGUUUCACAUAUAAUUAUUUGAGAAUAAUGUACCAUAGAUUAUGUUUAUGGAGAUUGUAACACUUAAUAUGGUUCAGAUAUAUUUUUCUUAUAGUGUAUCAUGUUCUAAUUGAAAAUAGUGUAUCCUAUAUAAUAGGGUUGUAAAAAAGUAGUAUACAUAAUUAAAUAAAGUGUAUCUUUAAAUGUAUCACAAUAAGUAAAAAAUAAUUUAUCAAUAGAUACAUGAAUGAUUUACGAAGUAAUCACAACUAAUUAUCCAAUAUAUCAGCAUAAAUCAAUACGCAACUUACUAGAACUAAGUUAUCAAAUAAAUACAUAAUUGAAUCAGCAGUCAAGUUAUAUAUUA